UUGUAGUGCUACCACUGCGGGUGCACUGACUGGGUAUUGUACAUCUUUUCCAACAUUAUGCAAAGUCAUAUCGAGUGUUUCCCAUGAUGAAUUUGACGCGAUGGGACCCAACGCUGGUGACUUUCUUCAGCAAAAAUGGCUGACAAGAAUACUACGAUGGAAGCAAAUUCCCCACAGAUGCUGAUGAGAGUCCAGAACUGGAAUAUGCUGACAUCAAUUUUCUAAAGAAGAUGGAGAAACACAGGGAGGUUCCAGAGGAUGUGGAGUAUGGACAGGUUGUAGUAUUGAAGGGUUCCAGACCAACCACAGAGAGAGACAGACCUGAGGGGCGGGAGGAGACUGUGUAUGCUGGAAUACAGCUUGACCAAUGAGAGAGAUUCUUGUGAAGGGUUGAUAUUUAGACAUAACAUUAAAGCUCUGUUGCUUCUUUUGUUACUGUAACUAUUAGUAUCUAACGUUCCCAUAUUUCUGUACAUAUUUGCAUAAAAUGUAAAUGAACAACUAAACUGUAUACACUUGC